AUUGAACGCUGGCGGCAUGCCUUACACAUGCAAGUCGAACGGCAGCAUGAUCUAGCUUGCUAGAUUGAUGGCGAGUGGCGAACGGGUGAGUAAUACAUCGGAACGUGCCCUGUAGUGGGGGAUAACUAGUCGAAAGAUUAGCUAAUACCGCAUACGACCUGAGGGUGAAAGUGGGGGACCGCAAGGCCUCAUGCUAUAGGAGCGGCCGAUGUCUGAUUAGCUAGUUGGUGAGGUAAAGGCUCACCAAGGCGACGAUCAGUAGCUGGUCUGAGAGGACGAUCAGCCACACUGGGACUGAGACACGGCGCAGACUCCUACGGGAGGCAGCAGUGGGGAAUUUUGGACAAUGGGGCAACCCUGAUCCAGCAAUGCCGCGUGUGUGAAGAAGGCCUUCGGGUUGUAAAGCCCUUUUGUCCGGAAAGAAAUCGCACUUACUAAUAUUAGGUGUGGAUGACGGUACCGGAAGAAUAAGGACCGGCUAACUACGUGCCAGCCGCCGCAGUAAGAC
rnacentral:rRNA from 1 species